UGAACGACUCUCGGCAACGGAUAUCUCGGCUCUCGCAUCGAUGAAGAACGUAGCGAAAUGCGAUACUUGGUGUGAAUUGCAGAAUCCCGUGAACCAUCGAGUCUUUGAACGCAAGUUGCGCCCGAGGCCUUCGGCCAAGGGCACGUCUGCCUGGGCGUCACGC
rnacentral:rRNA from 1 species